rnacentral:rRNA from 1 species
GAUGAACGCUAGCGAUAGGCCUAACACAUGCAAGUCGAGGGGCAUCACAUGAAGUAGCAAUACGGAUGGUGGCGACCGGCGCACGGGUGAGUAACACGUAUGCAACCUGCCUUCAACAAGGGGAUAACCCGUUGAAAGACGGACUAAUACCCUAUAACACAGGGGUCCCGCAUGGGAAUAUUUGUUAAAGGACAACCGGUUGAAGAUGGGCAUGCGUUCCAUUAGCUAGUUGGCGGGGUAACGGCCCACCAAGGCAACGAUGGAUAGGGGAACUGAGAGGUUUAUCCCCCACACUGGUACUGAGACACGGACCAGACUCCUACGGGAGGCAGCAGUGAGGAAUAUUGGUCAAUGGACGCAAGUCUGAACCAGCCACGUCGCGUGAAGGAAGACGGCCCUACGGGUUGUAAACUUCUUUUAUACGGGAAUUAAAGUGCCCCACGCGGGGGUUUUGCAUGUACCGUAUGAAUAAGGAUCGGCUAACUCCGUGCCAGCAGCCGCCGGUAAUUACUGACUCA